rnacentral:lncRNA from 1 species
CUUCUACCUGCAUCUCAUUCUCUCUGAAUCGCUUGUGUGAAUGGCUUAACAAAGGAUUCCAAAAUCAAGGUUAUUCACUUCUAGCAAAAGAAAACCCUAAACGCCAUGGGCGAACUCUGUCGAAUCUUUGUCUACCAUAUCACUUAAAAAAUAAACGGUGGUAGGUACUGUAAGGUACUGUAAGGUACGCCCGAAGUUUGUGACCAGUUGCAAUUGAAUUUUAUUGUUUCCUUUCUCUCAAAUUGCAGGAGAUUAUUUGGUUUUCUACGAUAGCAAAGUUUGUGACUUUGAGUAAAGAUUUUUCACACAUGCUCCGGUGUGCCCUGUUUCAAUUAGGAUGGUUGCUAUCGGUUGACAAGUGGACGAUUCAUUGGGUGAUCCUGUAAAUGAAGAAUGAUUGUCCAUAUCUUUAGAACUCUGUGGAUUGAAGAUAGUUACUGGAAUCGAGGUUGUUGAGGCACAAGAAGACCUUAUAAAGGUUAAUAUUUCCCGUAAAUGGGCCACUGAUGAAGAGAAACAACCUACCACAUGGGGAAUGUACAUACAUGAUGAUUUGGUUUUGGAUCAAGAGAAACUUGUUGAUCCACUUAAGAAGGUCUGGCUAUUUUAUUAAGACUCAUCAUUCUUGAAACCGCAACAAAUGGUGUAACAAAGAAGUAUGCCACCCCAAAUAUUUUCUUUUUUACCACUUUACAACACUUUCAUAUUUACAAUAUGUCAAACCAAGUUGAGAGCGAGUGAUAAUCGGACUGAGCUCACGUUACUUUUAUCAAAUUGUAAAUGUAACAUUAUUUGUCUUUUUGUUGAUAUUUUUGUACACGGAUUAUAAAGAAAACUUCAUAC